GGAAAUGUUUUAAAGUACUUCUCUUUAAUCAUUUUUGUAUCCAGCUGCCUUUGAUUUGUGGAGCCUGUUAUUUUACAGAGUAUUUCAACAUUCCUUAUGGAUGGGAAACAAUGCCAAGAUGCUAUGCUCUUUUGGCAAGAUGCUUGGGCUGUGCGGUCAUUGAAGAUACCUGGCACUAUUUCUUGCAUAGACUCUUACACCACAAAAGAAUAUAUAAAUAUAUUCAUAAAAUUCAUCAUGAGUUUCAGGCUCCAUUUGGAAUAGAAGCUGAAUAUGCACAUCCUUUGGAAACUCCGAUCCUUGGGGCUGGAUUUUUCAUUGGAAUCCUGCUUUUGUGUGAUCACAUAGUUCUUCUUUGGGUUUAGGUGACCUUGCAUUUGAUAACAACUGUUGAUGUCCACAGUGGUUAUGCUAUUCCUAUCAACCCUUUAAAUUUCAUCCCUUUCUAUUCUGGUUCCCGGCAUCACGAUUUCCAUCACAUGAACUACAUUGGAAAUUAGGCUUCGACAUUUACAUGGUGGAUAGGCUUUUUGGAACAGCAAUAUAAUACUUAUAAUGAAAGGAUGAAGAAGAUUCAGAAAAAAACAAUAAAUCUCUUGCAGACCUUCCUGAAGACCUACAUUUUCCUGAAUUGCAAGUAGUAGCUAACAUUGCUUCCAGGGAGCAGAAAUAAGCAUGUGUCUUGGCUGCUAAGUGAUGAAAAGAACAUUAACAACCUUUAACUAUCUUCCUAGUGGGAACUUUUUCUAUUUUACAUACAAGAUCUGUGUAUGUAUAAAUAAAUGUAUAUUUAAGUACAGUUUUUGUGAGGUUAGCCAUGUUGCUAAACUUAAGAGGCUUUUCAGUACUGAAAGAAGUAUUAUUUGUCUUUUCCCCCAGUGCUACCAGAGACCUGAAGUUGACAGUGUCUUUAAGUUUGUUAGAUACAUAUUGGUCAUUCUUAAUAAUGGUGUUGGCCUUACCUUUGAAACAUUUUUUUAGAAUUCACCUAAAAUAGAAAUAUCAUGAGAGGAACUGCAGCAGCAGAGACAGCGAGUGAUAAAAGCCAGCCAAUCAGCAGCCACCACUGCCAAGAACUCUUAACUCUUGGCUGGAGCUGACCAGUUU
rnacentral:lncRNA from 1 species